GCCGUCGUGGCUUAGUCGAUUAAAGCGCCUGUCUAGUAAACAGGCGAUCGUGAGCUCGAAUCUCAUCGGUGCCU
rnacentral:tRNA from 1 species